GACAGGGCCUACUCCUAUCUAAAAAGGGCUAGUCAAGAGCUUCCUGUUCUCAAAGCAGGAAAACAGCUUCAAAAGGGAAUAUAAGAAAGGAGUCAAGGGAUGGACAACUAGGUGUGAGCAUUAGACAAACACCCAGAUAAAGAAUACAUUCCUAGAGUUUUUCUUCUAUGUUCACUAGCAACAAGAUAACCCAGGCAUCUGCUUGCAAACUCUUACCUACAGGUGAUACAAAAGUUGCUUCAGACUUGGUCUGUAUAAACUGAGAAUUUAAAAUAAGGUAUCACUCCUCCCUGCAACAAAAUACAAAAAUCUUCCAAGCUAACACAACACUACGCAGUCAUCCGUUGGUGAUCCAGAAACCUAAGAACAAUAAGAGUUGCCAGCCUGCCAGCCUACCCUAUGGACUUCAGCUAUGACAACUCCCACAACUGCAUGAGCCGAU